rnacentral:rRNA from 1 species
UAGGGAAUCUUCCGCAAUGGACGCAAGUCUGACGGAGCAACGCCGCGUGAGUGAAGAAGGAUUUCGGUUCGUAAAACUCUGUUGUUAGAGAAGAACAGCGCAUAGAGUAACUGUUAUGCGUGUGACGGUAUCUAACCAGAAAGCCACGGCUAACUACGUGCCAGCAGCCGCGGUAAUACGUAGGUGGCAAGCGUUGUCCGGAUUUAUUGGGCGUAAAGCGAGCGCAGGCGGUCAAUUAAGUCUGAUGUGAAAGCCCCCGGCUCAACCGGGGAGGGUCAUUGGAAACUGGUUGACUUGAGUGCAGAAGAGGAGAGUGGAAUUCCAUGUGUAGCGGUGAAAUGCGUAGAUAUAUGGAGGAACACCAGUGGCGAAGGCGACUUUCUGGUCUGUAACUGACGCUGAUGUGCGAAAGCGUGGGAAUCAAACAGG